rnacentral:rRNA from 1 species
GUUGAACGCUGGCGGCAUGCCUUACACAUGCAAGUCGAACGGUAACAGGUCUUCGGAUGCUGACGAGUGGCGAACGGGUGAGUAAUACAUCGGAACGUGCCCGAGAGUGGGGGAUAACGAAGCGAAAGCUUUGCUAAUACCGCAUACGAUCUCAGGAUGAAAGCAGGGGACCGCAAGGCCUUGCGCUCACGGAGCGGCCGAUGGCAGAUUAGGUAGUUGGUGGGAUAAAAGCUUACCAAGCCGACGAUCUGUAGCUGGUCUGAGAGGACGACCAGCCAACCUGGGACUGAGCCACGGCCCAGACUCCCACGGGAGGCAGCAGUGGGGAAUUUUGGACAAUGGGCGCAAGCCUGAUCCAGCCAUGCCGCGUGCAGGAUGAAGGCCUUCGGGUUGUAAACUGCUUUUGUACGGAACGAAAAGACUCCUUCUAAUAAAGGGGGUCCAUGACGGUACCGUAAGAAUAAGCACCGGCUAACUACGUGCCAGCCGCCGCAGUAACAC